UAGGGAAUCUUCGGCAAUGGGGGCAACCCUGACCGAGCAACGCCGCGUGAGUGAAGAAGGUUUUCGGAUCGUAAAGCUCUGUUGUAAGAGAAGAACGUGUGUGAGAGUGGAAAGUUCACACAGUGACGGUAACUUACCAGAAAGGGACGGCUAACUACGUGCCAGCAGCCGCGGUAAUACGUAGGUCCCGAGCGUUGUCCGGAUUUAUUGGGCGUAAAGCGAGCGCAGGCGGUUUAAUAAGUCUGAAGUUAAAGGCAGUGGCUUAACCAUUGUUCGCUUUGGAAACUGUUAAACUUGAGUGCAGAAGGGGAGAGUGGAAUUCCAUGUGUAGCGGUGAAAUGCGUAGAUAUAUGGAGUAACACCGGUGGCGAAAGCGGCUCUCUGGUCUGUAACUGACGCUGAGGCUCGAAAGCGUGGGGAGCAAACAGG
rnacentral:rRNA from 1 species